rnacentral:misc_RNA from 1 species
CUAUUUUAUGUAAUCACAUUGAAUACAUUUCGUCUGCUUAGGUGUUUCACGAUCGAAGCAUUUACUCUCAAAUCUUCGAGAUUAUAAAAUUUUCCACUGCUUUAAUAAGGUAGUCGAAUAGAAGUUCAAUAAAUCAGGCGUAGCAAGUAAAAAGUCGAUACUCUUUAAUCGUAUCGUCUAAUGCUGCUGAAGAUAUUCAAGAUUUUUCGAGUUUCUAAAAUUCCUUACUAUAAAGAUUAUGAUAAUAAGAUAAAAAUUCAGAGCCUGCUCAAAGAUCAUUUUUAAUUUCUCAUCCUUGAAGAGUCCAUUGCCUCGACAAGACACGUACGUAGAAGAAGCAACGAAGAUCUUCGGGGGUUGCUACGUUGGAACGGUUAACCUUGACAGGUUCGUAAAGGCAGUUCUUUUUCUUGUACCACUUCUCGGUAGAAAAGCGAGUAUCAUUCCCUCCGUUAAACAUUCCAUACGUACGAUUCGUCGAAUACAUGUUCUGUAUAAGUGCGCGACAAUUAUAUCAAAAUCCGAGGGAUACGCGGAAAGAACAAUUACAGAAAUUGGAUUCACCUGUUUCGUGUGGUGAACGUUGUAAACCGUCUGCGGUACGUACGACGACUAAUCGAGCUUCUU